AAAGAUGUAUUUCCUUCUAUUGGUGCAAGAUAAGAAUGUCUAAGAAAGGCGUUUAACUAACCUUAUUAUUUUUUGGAUCGAUAUGUGAUCUUGAAAUCAAAUUUUGAUAAAGACACGAUCCAAUGGACUUGGCAUUGAUUCAAAAGACAUUGUCAUAAUAUGUGAAGUCUUGCUUGAGAAUGCUCUGGGUACUUGGCUAUGGAAGAUAGAAUAGAAAUUGUAACAAAAAAAUACUAACUCUAAUAGAAUACUAACUAAACUCUAAUUACACCAUAAAAAUAUUAAGCAAGCUUUAAUCAAAUUCAAAGAUACCUCAAAGAAAUUACAAAGAAACAAUAAGAAAUCUUAAAAAAAUAUUAUAAUGAUCACAAAUAUAUCUCAAAUAUAUCUUACUUCAAUCUUAAUUUAAUUCUAGUUAAAAAACUAUUGGACUUCAUUCAAACUUUAGGCCAAAAACUAAUUAAAUUUUAAACCCUAAAUAAACUCAAAUAAAAUCCUAAAUCUUAAAUCACAUCCUAAUCAACCUUAAACCAAAUCCUAAAACCUAAACCAAAUCUUAAAAAAAUCCUAAUCCUAAAUAAAAUUCUAACUAAAUCCUAAAUCCUAAACCAAAUCUUAAUCCUAAAUCAAAUCCUAACUAAAUCCUAAUCCUAAAUCAUAUCCUAACUAACUCUAAAAAUAAAUCCUAAAUCCUAAAUCAAAUCGUAACCAAAUCCUUAUACUAAAUUAAACCUUAACCAAAUCCUUAUACUAAAUCAAAUCCUAACCAAAUCCUAAAUCUUAAAUCGAAUCCUAAAUCAAUCCUAAAUCCUAAACUAAAUCCUAAUCCUAAAUCAAAUCCUAAU
rnacentral:lncRNA from 1 species